ensembl:snRNA U6 U6 spliceosomal RNA
GUGCUUAGUUCAGCAGCACACAUGAUAAAAUUGGGAAAAUUUAAAGAUCAGCAUGGUCCUUGCACAAGGGUAACACUCAAAUUCCUGAAGUGUUUCAUUCUUGU